GUUUAGUUAACAACCGUACAAAACCAUACUGAUUGAAGUGACAUAUGUAUUCAAGGCAAGACCUCACUGACAAACCAAGCAGAGUUGUCUCAGCACACCACGAGAUGACAAAUUAACCGCCGACGAGUCUAGCGGCAACAGUGAGCAUAUCUCUUGCCUUGACAUAAUCACCCUCACCAAUGUGUAAUUGAACCAUCUGAAAACGCACUGCGGCUUCUACGUAAGCCAAUGCACUGACAUAAGUAUGCACUUCUUUCGCGGCUUCUGCGCAAGCCUAUGCAUUGUCACACAUGUAUGCACUUCUCUUGUG